ACGAAAUGAACAGUAAAUGCACAAUGAACAGUACAAGGGUUCUUCACCGCAUAAAAAAACACCGGCGGUAGAAAGAGAAAGACAGAGAGUGCACGACGGAGGGAGAGAGAGAGAGAGCGCGCGACGGAGGCAGAGAGGCCCGGCGGUCAUGGAGGAACCGGCUAUGGUCUCCGGCCGAUGGUAAUGUUGUCGAUCGUCGCUGAAUGGGGAACUUGACGGCCUGGGGUUCUAGGGUUCCGGCGGCAGUGCCGGAACCGACCUGCAUCUGCCGCUCACUACCAUCAGUAGGUUACACACAUGUCAGCGCCCGCUUCCCGCUUAUAGGCUUAAUACCACCGAUAACCACCGCCCUGCCCCCAAACGCGAGAAAGGGGUGUCAAUGGUGUUCUUUGUGGUUUGAAAGGGGGGAUCGGGGUGGCUAUGGUGGCAAUAGCGUGCGACGAGUACUAUAAUUGUGGCCAGAGAAAGAGACUGUGCUGCUCCACCGGCUUCACCGCGACCUCCAUCACCAUCGCCACGGCUGCCAUAUCUCCGACUGCAACCUUGACGGUGGUGUUGCUACAUGAGUAAUGGCAACGAAGAUUGAGGGUUUUUAGGGAGAGUAGGUCGACGGCUAAAUCGAUGAACCCUAAAUCGAUAGUAGGUCUCAUCUCACUAAAUUUCGAUUUGCUUGCUGUUCUUCAAUCAAUCACCGAUAGGAACUCUUCACAGUUGUUUUUUGCCCAGAGCUCUUAAAUUCCCCUGCAACUUUUAGAGGUAUAGCGAAGAGAAGGACCAUUAAGAAGGACAACUAAAGCUCAAAUGGGGUUACUUUUUUUAAUCACUGAAGACUAUUUAUGUGCAAUUGGUUUUAGGGCUCCGCCGGUCAACUUUCAGCCACCACUGUUAUCUGUAUCUUCUUUUUGAUGUGAUGAUUUCGAUCUAUUUAAUCGGUUGAAUAUGUUUUUAACGUGUACUUGGAUUUUGCUCUAGGAUUGAAGGAGCAUAUAGGAUGAUUUUGGAGAUUAAGGGUUUGGACGACAGUUUCAAGGAUAUCUAACUCAGAAAGAAACAGAGGUAAAGCUUCCCCGACCAACUAGGUUAAGAACAAAACCCCAGCCCCGAUACAAAUCACUACCUAACAGAGUCUGCUUGAAGCGAGGGAAUGCCAAGAAGCUGAAACCCGACCAACAAAACUGAUUAUCACCGCUUAUUAGGAGAGUAAGGUGGAACAAAAGUGUGUGGAUGAAGUAUGCUAAGAAGGAUUUCAAUUGUGCUAGGAGUGUUUGGGAGCGUGCACUUGAUGUCAAUUGAAGCAACUAAAGGGUGGUGUUACAGCAUGUCCAAGAUGUGGUCAAUACCAAAGGUCGAUAUUGAGUGGAUUUGUACAGGUACCGAAUCAUUGCGACAAUCUCGGACAGCACGGGAAGCAUCUCAACAAUUAUUUUCGACGGUGCAGGGAGACAGCUGUUAGCAUGACAUGCGAUGAGUUGGCUGCGACUGAGGACCCCAUGAAAAAGUUGUACUCAGUUAUGGAAAAGGAAGCAUUCAUGAUUAUCCAGCUGCUAUACGACAAGAAAAUGCGCACAUUGAAAUCUGUUGUCAACAAAGCAGCGCAAUGUGCCAGCUUUGUCAAAAUGUAGUCAAUGGUCGUAUGCUAUAUGCUGGUAAUGUAUGCCUGAACGUACCAUAUUUUGUACGCUACGUCUGUUAAUAGCAGUGUCAUAACUUGAUAACAGUUACUUAUGAA